rnacentral:rRNA from 1 species
GUGGGGAAUAUUGGGCAAUGGGCGCAAGCCUGACCCAGCAACGCCGCGUGAAGUAAGAAGGCUUUCGGGUUGUAAACUUCUUUUACCAGGGACGAAACAAAUGACGGUACCUGGUGAAUAAGCCACGGCUAACUACGUGCCAGCAGACGCGGUAAUACGUAGGUGGCGAGCGUUAUCCGGAUUUAUUGGGUGUAAAGGGCGUGUAGGCGGGACAGAAAGUACGAUGUGAAAACCAGAGGCUAAACAUCUGGCCUGCAUUUGAAACUGUUGUUCUUGAGGAGCGGAGAGGUAAUCGGAAUUCCGUGGGUAGCGGUGAAAUGCGUAGAUAUACGGAGGAAAACCAGUGGCGAAGGCGGCUACCUGUCCAAAUACUGGCACUGAGUCACGAACGCGUGGGGAGCAAACAGGAUUAGAAACCCCGGUAGUCC